rnacentral:rRNA from 1 species
AUGGAACCCCAACUCCCUGUUGCAGCAGCCGCCACCAACGCCCCUGCAGCCGCGCCGGAGAUUAGCCGGCCGUUCAUCGCCGGCACCGAGGAUGGCGGCCAUAAACGCGUACUCACCUGUACGGGGGCGGAACGGGACUGGGAGAUCGUCUUCGCCGACCUGCUACCCAAGGUGUCGGAGCUGGUAUUGGCCUCCGAUGUAAAGGACUACAUGGCGCUGAGAGGUGUGUGCAAGCCGUGGAGGGCCGCCACCGCCGACCCGAAGCUUGUGGGCAUGGACCCGCGCUUCUUCCCGUGGCACUGGGAGAUGGCGAAAGGGGAUGAGCGCACCGACGACAAUGCCAGGUUCGUAAACAAUCUCACCGAUGCCUCCAUCAAGGUGCACAUCCCUCGGGAGUAUGGGGACGUCGUCGCCGCCGCCGAGGGCCUCCUGGUGCUCUUAGCUGUUGGGUGGGAGAUGCGGCUGUUCAACCCGGUGACCGGGGCCGUCGCUGACCUGCCUAAUGUCUUCCCCGAGAACCCACCCUGGGCGAUCGAGUGGAACGCGGCAGGAAUGGUCUACAACGACGGCGAGGCUGAUCCCACCGUGGUGUUGUAUGUGACGGUGGGGUCGUUCAGGGAAGUGAUCAUGCACGCAAAGCCCGGCGACGUCAGGUGGCAGAUCGUGGAUCCUUCGCCGGCGCUGUCAGAGUCCGGGCUCUCCGUGCGCGGCCAGUUCUUCCUGCCAACUCUAGAAGGGGAUUUGCUCAGAUAUGCGCUCCGACCGCAGCCUCACUUCGUGUGCGUGGCUAGGCAGCACGCUCGCCACAGGCUUAGUAACAACUCGUUCAUCAGAUCCUUCCUGCAACUGGCCCGCCACCGCGACGGGGUGAUGAGAAUGCAGCUCGUGCGUGACAUCCUUGUCGUGUUCCCUAGCGAACACGUGGACAUGGUUGUCGAGUUGUUCUGGGUGGACGUCACAGAGGGGAGCCUUACACUUGUGCAGCAACAGGACUUGGCCGAUGGCGAUGAUCGGCGUGGUGAUUACAUGUUGGCGCUAGGCAUCGGCAGUGAUGAGUCUGAAUCUGAUGACUAG